rnacentral:rRNA from 1 species
AGCGAACGCUGGCGGCAGGCCUAACACAUGCAAGUCGAGCGCCCCGCAAGGGGAGCGGCAGACGGGAGAGUAACACGUGGGAACAUGCCCUUCAGUUCGGAACAACCCAGGGAAACUUGGGCUAAUACCGGAUACGUCCGUAAGGAGAAAGAUUUAUCGCUGAAGGGAUUGGCCCGCGUCCGAUUAGCUAGUUGGNGAGGUAAUGGCUCACCAAGGCGACGAUCGGUAGCGGUCUGAGAGGAUGAUCAGCCUCAACU